AACGUAGGACGCAAGCGUUAUCCGGAGUUACUGGGCGUAAAGCGCGGGCAGGCGGCUCGAAACGUCUGAUGUGAAAUCUCCUCGCUCAACGGGGAGAGGCCAUUGGAAACGGUCGAGCUGGAGGGCAGUAGAGGUAGGCGGAAUUCCGGGUGGAGUGGUGAAAUGCGUAGAGAUCCGGAGGAACACCGGUGGCGAAGGCGGCGCUCUGGACCGAGACUGACGCUGAGGCGCGAAAGCGUGGGGAGCAAACAGG
rnacentral:rRNA from 1 species